rnacentral:pre_miRNA from 13 species
GUCCUUUGGGUGCAGUGGUUUUCAACAGUUCAACAGUUCUUUAUUAACAUUGUGAAAUGUUUAGGACCACUUGAUCCAAA